UACGGGGGGCGCAAGCGUUGUUCGGAUUUACUGGGCGUAAAGGGCGCGUAGGCGGUCAGCACAAGUCAGUUGUGAAAUCUCCGGGCUUAACUCGGAAAGGUCAACUGAUACUGUGCGACUAGAGUGCAGAAGGGGCAACUGGAAUUCUCGGUGUAGCGGUGAAAUGCGUAGAUAUCGAGAGGAACACCUGCGGCGAAGGCGGGUUGCUGGGCUGACACUGACGCUGAGGCGCGAAAGCGUGGGGAGCGAACAGG
rnacentral:rRNA from 1 species